UUUUCCUUCGAAUAACUGGAUACGGAAAUUUGAGACCACAUUCGGUUCAGACAAGGGAAUAUGAAAACUAUAUGAGGGAACUGUGUUGGAAUUUAUUUCUUCACCUUUACGUUUCCUCUUGAAUCAAUCUUAAUGGAAAGGAUUGAUUUUCCUUUCUUUAGAUUGUUCUAACAUUU